rnacentral:snRNA from 1 species
CAAAUUACCUGGCAGGGGAAAUACCAUGGUUAAGAAGGUGGUUUUCCCAAGGUGAGGCUCACCCAUUGUACCCAAGGUGUGCUGACCCCUGAAAUUUCCUAAAAGGAGGGAAACUCAUCUGCAUAAUAUGUUGUAGUGGGAGACUACAUUUGCACUUUCUCU